rnacentral:rRNA from 1 species
UUUACCAACGAGUGGCGGACGGGUGAGUAACACGUAGGCAACCUGCCCAGAAGCGGGGGACAACAUUUGGAAACAAGUGCUAAUACCGCAUAACAACGAAAACCACAUGAUUUUCGUUUAAAAGAUGGUUUCGGCUAUCACUUCUGGAUGGGCCUGCGGCGCAUUAGCUUGUUGGUGAGGUAACGGCUCACCAAGGCUGUGAUGCGUAGC